GAUGAACGCUGGCGGCGUGCCUAAUACAUGCAAGUCGAGCGAACAGACGAGGAGCUUGCUCCUCUGACGUUAGCGGCGGACGGGUGAGUAACACGUGGAUAACCUACCUAUAAGACUGGGAUAACUUCGGGAAACCGGAGCUAAUACCGGAUAAUAUAUUGAACCGCAUGGUUCAAUAGUGAAAGACGGUUUUGCUGUCACUUAUAGAUGGAUCCGCGCCGCAUUAGCUAGUUGGUAAGGUAACGGCUUACCAAGGCAACGAUGCGUAGCCGACCUGAGAGGGUGAUCGGCCACACUGGAACUGAGACACGGUCCAGACUCCUACGGGAGGCAGCAGUAGGGAAUCUUCCGCAAUGGGCGAAAGCUUGACGGAGCAACGCCGCGUGAGUGAUGAAGGUCUUCGGAUCGUAAAACUCUGUUAUUAGGGAAGAACAAAUGUGUAAGUAACUGUGCACAUCUUGACGGUACCUAAUCAGAAAGCCACGGCUAACUACGUG
rnacentral:rRNA from 1 species